AUAUAUCUGGAUGGUGAGUGGAUUAUGGGGUGGUAUAGCUGGCCUACUGUUGGGAUUCUGGGCCUGAUUUAAAGAUUCAGUCACUAGGACCCCUCUUUUUUUCUGAUUCAUGUAAGCCAUUCCAUCUACAGCAUGCCUCCUCCAUGCCCUUCUGCCAAGCUUUCCUGCCUUGGAGCCAGCAGACCCAGGACUGAAAUGUGAGCCAAAAUAGCUCUCUCAUCCCUCAAGUUGUGGGAGUCACAUAUUGGGUCCCAGCAACAAGGGAAAUAACUAUGACAAGGAGCUUCAGCCCUGGUGGAAAAGAUCUGGCACCACAUGGAACUGGCUCUUCCCCAAAGUCGAAAUGACGGUGGGAGAGAAUGAUUCAGGACAUGCAGGCAGCCGUGAAGGUGCCACUAAAGACCCACACGAAAGAGGACUUCCUGAGCUGCUGCAGAACCUGGCAAGAAUGAUAGUAUGAGAGUGUGUGAAUUGAGGAGUAUUUUUAGGAGGAUUAAUGGCAAUGUGUCUUUUACCCUAAUAAAUUUUUUUUGUCCCUAACACAUUUUUUAAAAUUUAAAUAG
rnacentral:lncRNA from 1 species